GAUUGUAACGCGUGGAUAACCUGCCCAAGAGACCGGGAUAACUCUGGGAAACUGGAGCUAAUACCGGAUACGUUCCUUUUAAUGCAUAUUAAGAGGAAGAAAGGGGAAACCCGCUCAUGGAUGGGUCCGCGUCCCAUUAGCUAGUUGGUGGGGUAACAGCCUACCAAGGCGACGAUGGGUAGCCGGCCUGAGAGGGUGGCCGGCCACACUGGGACUGAGACACGGCCCAGACUCCUACGGGAGGCAGCAGUGGGGAAUCUUCCGCAAUGGGCGAAAGCCUGACGGAGCAACGCCGCGUGAGUGAUGAAGGCCCUUGGGUCGUAAAACUCUGUCUUCAGGGAAGAAAAAAAUGACGGUACCUGAGGAGGAAGCCCCGGCUAACUACGUGCCAGCAGCCGCGGUAAAACGUAGGGGGCGAGCGUUGUCCGGAAUUACUGGGCGUAAAGGGCGUGUAGGCGGCUCGUGAAGUCAGGAGUGAAAGCCCGGGGCUCAACCCCGGGACUGCUUUUGAAACCAGCGGGCUUGAGUGCAGGAGAGGGGAGCGGAAUUCCCAGUGUAGCGGUGAAAUGCGUAGAUAUUGGGAGGAACACCAGUGGCGAAGGCGGCUCUCUGGACUGCAACUGACACUGAGGCGCGAAAGUGUGGGGAGCAAACAGGAUUAGAUACCCUGGUAGUCCACGCCGUAAACGAUGAGUGCUAGGUGUUGGAGGUAUCGACCCCUCCAGUGCCGUAGUUAACACAAUAAGCACUCCGCCUGGGGAGUACGGUGGCAACACUGAAACUCAAAGGAAUUGACGGGGGCCCGCACAAGCGGUGGAGUAUGUGGUUUAAUUCGACGCAACGCGAAGAACCUUACCAGGGCUUGACAUC
rnacentral:rRNA from 1 species